rnacentral:rRNA from 1 species
AUUGAACGCUGGCGGCAGGCCUAACACAUGCAAGUCGAACGAGUGGCGGACGGGUGAGUAAUGUCUGGGAAAUUGCCCGAUGGAGGGGGAUAACUACUGGAAACGGUAGCUAAAAACGCAUACCAUCGGAUGUGCCUAGAUGGGAUUAGCUGGUAGGUGGGGUAACGGCUCACCUAGGCGACGAUCCCUAGCUGGUCUGAGAGGAUGACCAGCAACACGGGAACGGGGACACGGUCUAAACUCCUAAGGGAGGCAGCGGUGGGGAAUAUUGCACAAGGGGCGCAAGCCUGAUGCAGGCAUGCCGCGUGUAUGAAGAAGGCCUUCGGGGUGUAAAGUACUUUCAGCGGGGAGGCGUUACCCGCAGAAGAAGCACCGGCUAACUCCGUGCCAGCAGCCGCGGUAAUAC